rnacentral:rRNA from 1 species
GAUGAACGCUGGCGGCGUGCUUAACACAUGCAAGUCGAGCGAAGCGGUUUUAAGGAAGUUUUCGGAUGGAAUUAAGAUUGACUUAGCGGCGGACGGGUGAGUAACGCGUGGGUAACCUGCCUCAUACAGGGGGAUAACAGUUAGAAAUGACUGCUAAUACCGCAUAAGCGCACAGUGCUGCAUAGCACAGUGUGAAAAACUCCGGUGGUAUGAGAUGGACCCGCGUCUGAUUAGGUAGUUGGUGAGGUAAUGGCUCACCAAGCCGACGAUCCGUAGCCGGCCGGAGAGGGUGAACGGCCACAUUGGGACUGAGACACGGCCCGAACUCCUACGGGAGGCGGCAGUGGGGAAUAUUGGACAAUGGGGGAAACCCUGAUCCAGCGACGCCGCGUGAGUGAAGAAGUGUUUCGGCAUGUAAAGCUCUAUCAGCAGGGAAGAAAAUGACGGUACCUGACUAAGAAGCCCCGGCUAACUACGUGCCAGCCGCCGCCGUAA